AGUUUAUACAUUUAAAGUAGCAUCAAAGUAAUAAACAACCAUGAGUGGUCUAGUGGAGAAGGGUAGUAUCAUAGUCUUGAGUGGGGUGGGUUCAAUACUCAUGUGUAGCAUUUUUUGGCAUUUUAUUUCUUUUAGCUAUUUUAUUUUCUUUUAGCAUUUUCAUUUCUUUUUACGUUUAUGCCUUUAUUAUACUCAUAGUUUCAUUUGUUAAUAAUGCAAAUUUAUUUUCUUUUAAUUUCAUCAUUCAUUCAAAACCAUUUUUAAACUUAUAAAAAUCAUAUUUUUCUCGAUUUAAUAUCGAGCCCAUUUUCACACCCUUGUAAGUCGAUUGCUUUUUAAGCA
rnacentral:lncRNA from 1 species